GCAAAACAUUACCUUUGCCGUUGUCCAUAGCAGAGAAAAGCCUUAUGUAACCAUUUAUUAGUAUUUUUUUCCAUUUAGCUCAAACAAGACAUUGGAAAAUGUAUGUAUUGUUAUUAAAAAUGGCACAUUUAUUGCUACAUUACUGUUAUAUACACGACAGCUCUCAAUAUCUACUUUAUAUAUAAAAAAUAGGAAACUGGAGGCACUUUGAGGACAUACCUUACAUACAUAGUGUCCCCAAAUAUGAUGAUGAGACAGUGGCUUGUGGAGCAGUGUAUCUAUUGUGUACAAGAGUAGGUUGAGUUGGUCUUCCCCCCGCCAAAAAAAUAACACAAAAUAUCUUGUGUGUCUUGGAACACAGAAUAUACUGUAGAAAUCUUUCUCAUAAAGGUAAAUGAAAUGUAGCAAUGUGUAAUUUCACUUUCAUACAUCGGACCAAAAGCGCACCCAGAUAAGUCGGGUGUGCGGGACAGGAGUUUGGGAGAAUUGACAGCGCUGCUCCAUCGGGCGAGCAUGAAACAAACGGACAAAAUGACCAAUAUUGGUAUACAAAACACUGUUACAUAUCAGUAUCCGUUUACAACAAUAAAACUGAUGUGGACAUACCGCUGUACAUAUAUAAUGCACAUGCCAUCAGGGAUGAAGAUAUAUUUCUUAAAUAAAUUCAGUACAUACUAGAUACGUUUGAAAUAGUCGUUGGGGUCCUCUUACCAAGUUAAAAACAUGAUGUAAUCAGGGUGUUUUCCCCUCUCCUAUAAAUUCAUUAACUAUAUCUUACUUCACAAACUGACAGAAAUCAGUGCCAUGAAGUGUCAUUGUUCAUUUUGAUGCACUGAGAUGUACGUUUAAUUGUUCAUUUUGAUGAGCUGGGAUGUAAAUUGAAUUGUUCAUUUUGAUGUGCUGAGACAAUGUCAAAUGUCCUAAGUAAAUCUUUUUUUUUUUUUUUUUUAAAUACAUGUUUUUAUAAAAAGGUACAACCUAGUAGUCUUUCACUGUGUAGUAGACAGGUAUUCAGGCACUAGUGAGCAACCAUUAUCAAAACUCCCAAAGUCAGGAAAAGACUAAGGCCACCCUUUUGAUUUGUUUAUAUGUUUCAUAUGCUGUCAUAAUGAAACUAGGAAUAUUAAGCAGAUUGUACACAACAAACGUACCUAACAAGAGUCAGUAAUUGAUAUGGGCCGGGACUUCAGUCAAAGGAAGAGUGGGGCUUUGGUGAAGAAAAUGUUCAACAAAAGUAUGUAUUAUGACACCCAACUUGCAAGCGGCAGAAGAUUUCCACUAUGCCUCGUGUUAUAGUACAUUUUUCGAAACGUAUUUUGAAAAAGCAUAGCAAUUUUGUGCUGCUGGUAGAAAAUAUUGGCAUUUCUAACAUCCAAGCACCGGACACAAAUCCAUUUAAAAUAAAAGGGGUACACCUCACUUUGUUCCUGGCAUCUAAAUUGAGCUUUCUUCAAUUUAAACAAUGUAAACAAACAAACAAAAAGCAUUCCAAAAGUAAAAACUGAUACAUCUAUCUUACAAAGUAAAAAAUACAAUACAAAAACUGAAAGAUUAUUAAAUUCUACAAAAAAAGGAAGAUUCUUACAAACAUGUUUGCAAUAAUAAUAAAAAAACGGGAGGAUGGGUUGGGGGGGCUGGGGAAAAUCGGUGGGGGGGGGGAUCGGCUGGGGGGAUGGGGACACCAAAUGCAACAACAGCCAAAAAUAAAACAUGAACAAAGAAACAAAUCAAAACAAUGGCAAUGGGGUAAUACUACCAGAAGGUAGCGCAAUAACACUCAUGAUCCCUUUCAAAUCUUUUUUUUUUUUUCAAUUUCCUGGUUAAAUGCAGUUUACUAAAAUACAGUUCGCUCUCAGUCCUACAUUAAGUCUCCCACAUCCGAGUGAGUGUGGCCCUGGCCACAACAGAAGGUUCUCCGCCGUGCGGUUAUGAAAAGCGUCCCAAGGUUCACGGCGGGCCCUGGGGGCAUGGCAGGAACACGGCGACCCGUCCGCGCCGCCGCCGCUGCCACCGCCGCCGCCGCGGGUGGAGGAAACUCCGACGGGCCCUGUCUCCGCGUGCCCCGGGGGUUGCCAUGACAACCGGCCGAGGAUGAAUGGCGCCGAGGGCAGUGAAGGUUACGUUGCGUUCGCCUCCGUCCAGCAGCAGUAUCCAAAUGGCGUGCGCAUGCACACCACCCACCCCCCUCCCCCCCCUCCCCCAUGUGAUCAGCGGGAAGCUCCACUGGUAAUGAGUCCUCUCUCUUGUGUCGGUCGGUGGUUUAUCCCUCUCUGGCAGUCGUUCCAUUCUGUAACCAUGGCAGUGACAUUAAAAGAUGGCCGGGACGUAAUAGUUUGGGGUACCAAUGGCUAAAAUAACAAAUACCUAAGUCCGUGACUGGCAGAGUUCAGUUUUUUUUAUCUUAAAAAAAAAACAAUCUACAGCCAAUAGUAACUAGCAUACACACACGCACACAAAAGAUGAAACAUCUCUGUCCAGUAUUUCAAAUGCUAUUAUGGCCUUGUCUCUCCAAACCUACAUCCAUAUUUCAGUCAUCUUUUAAGGGGGAAAUGAAAAUUAUUGUAAAUUUAUCAUGACCAAACACUAUGCCUAAAAUAGGCAAACAUUACAACAGGUAUUAUUCAAACACAUGAUUUACUCUGGUGUCCUUUUUUGCCUGUAAUGAAUGUAAGACCUCCUGUUCCAACGGGAAUGCCGAAUAACUAUCCAAGGAUACAGAUCCCAAACUUGCUCCAUUGAGCAAUUUAUCCAAAAGUACUAUUUGAUCCAAACACAAUUUGCUCCCAACAAGAAACCAACUUUUGUUUUCUUUUGAAAUGUCUUACAAAAAAAAAAAAAACAUAACCGGUAGACCGGACCUCAUUAUGUUCCGAUUUCAAAAAGUCUCCAAAAAAAUGUCCCUUCAGAGUUCACAGAUUUGCAAUUUUCAAGACUCCUAAAACUCUUUCGAUGAAUGUGCUUGAUACUCUCUUAUUCAUGAUCAGGAAUGUGGCCACUGGCUUUGCGGUAAUGAGGUGUGUGUGUCCGUGUUUUCCAUUUGUUUUCUGUUUUUUUUUAACACGCACUGUAAUGCAUGAUAAUAGGUUAAGGCCACAUGUUUUAAGGGCUGUACAAUCAACAGGAACUGCAAGGCAAGAAGAAGAAAAAAAAAAACAGGAUUAGUCUUAGGUUUUUGCCCAACGUAUACAUUUCUUUAUAAAUUUGUGUAAAUAUGUGUAAUGCUGCUUUUCCAUGGCCUUGUGCAUAAACAACGUUCUUUGAGCAAUUGUGAACAUACCCUGUGAAGGACAAAGUACUUCUCUUACAGGUUGGCAGUCUAGUGAGUAGGCGGGACAUCUAGUUCAAAUCAUAGCCCACAACCAAGAGUCAUUAUAAUGGGUCAGCUACCUUUGUAUUUAAAAUUACAUCCAGUGGCGGCAACACUGGAAACCAAACGAAGGCAGCAAAAUGACUGAUCUGGAUAUUAGCGUGAGGCCGACCUGUUCAGCCGUGAACCAGUCAGCCCAAUGGCCAUACUGUUGAACGGAAUUGGUUGCAGACGAGCCCAUCGUUCACAAAGCCUGCCUCUGAGGCGCUCGCUUUUUAGUAACGCGGUGAAGCUCGCGGCACGGUGCGCCUCAGUUUAAGCGUGGGAAAGCAGCACAACCUUGGACUUGAUCCAUCGGAUCCGGCGAUCUUACGGUGGACGUACCUGAGAAUCACAUAUGGUUCACUGGGUUGUGUCCAUCUCCUCCUAGCCCGGGGUGACCCCCUCCCAGCUGCAUCUGGGGGUCCACGCCCGACACCUUCUCCUCUUCCCGUCUCUUCAGGCACGCAGCCUUUGGGUUUAAAUUACGCUCUUUGGAGAGAAGGACACACAGGGAAAAGUCAAGACCCUGGACAGCGGUGGCAGCGCGUCUAUAAUGAUCAUCGCAGGGCUAAGGGGGAGUGCUGGGACAUGGCAACACUGAAUGAACAGAAAAUGUGACAAAGCAAAAGAGAAGAGAGUAGGAACAUAAGGCGGUGAGGAGAGAUGGCAGCAGAAGAGCAGGAAGGCUCAUCCUCUCUUCCCCAUUCGUUAGGCUUUUGUUCCUCCAGGUGAACCAAAAGAGAAGGGGUGGCAGAGGAUGGCUCAAGCAAGUCAAGAUGAGGGUUAGGUGUGGACGCAGAGCAGCUCCUAUUGGUAGUUGGAUAGAAUUGGGUGAGAGGGUACGGGGGGGGGGGGGGCGACCUACCUCGCACCUGCUUCUCCAGCCCCAGUAUGACCUGGACGGCCUGCUGCAGUAUGAUGAGCUUGGUCUGGGCCUUGUCGCUCUGCAGGUGGAGCUGACACAUGCGGCCCAGCUCUCGGAAGGCUUCGUUUAUGUCGCGCACGCGCACCCGCUCCCUAGCAUUGUUGGCCAGCCGCCGCUCGCGCUCCCGCUGCUCCUUCUCCUCGGCAGUCAAGUUCUCGUCGGCCACCGAGACAACGCUGCAGCUGCUGCUGGGAGGAGAGGGUUGGUUUGGAAGGUCUGGUUAACAAACCCAAACCACAGCCUCGCAUCUGCCCCCUUACCCGUGCGUCGUUCACCCGCCCGGCCUCAGAUGUGCGCCCUUAAAUGCCGCCCUCGCUCCCUAAAUACCGGCCUGCCUUACCAUACUCCCCACCGCGACCGCGACAACCCCCCCCACCCAAACGCCCGUCGUUUCUGUUUUUGUUGCUACUUGGUGCUGAAGAAACUCCUGUGUUGUUACUGGCUACGUAUUCGGUCCUUCAUGUCUAGCCAAGUAUGACUCAAGCGGUGGACUGGAGGGAAGAAUCUGUCGGAGGCGUGUGGCAGGAGAGAGCGGAGCGGUGGAAACUGAGGACAUGGCUUCUUGGGCUGUACCUGGUGUGGGAACCACAGACCAGCAGCCUUUUGCGACCAAAAGGUCCAGUUCUGAUGCCGUCGCGGACAAACGCGCACACACAAUUGUUCUCGGCCAAUACGUCUCUGUGUGUGAUUUGAGGAGAGGAGCAGGCAGGGUUUUUUUUUUCCCCCUUGGGCCUGACAGAAAUAUUCAAAUUAAUUUGGACCAGGACUGACACGUUGGUAGUCGAACCCAACCAAUUUUUCUUAAAAAAAAAAAAGGUCAGCGGUUCUGCUGGUCGCCGAGGUCGGGACGGGAGAUGGAGAAGGGCUUGUGGGCACUGUCAAAAAGGGCGGUGAGAGGGGAUGAGGGAGGGAGCGAGGAUGGAAGCGACACCCUCUGCCAGAUAUAGCGCACAGACAAGGCCAUGAAAAGGAAGCCAAAGGGAGAGACUUGUGGUGUUGUGUUAAAUACAUCAGGGGGAGAGACGAUGUAUUUAUUGGAGGAUGAGGAAGAGGAGGAAUCUGCUGCCAUCUGCGAAAGGAAGAUGAGAAGAGAGAUGGGCGGGGGAGAUGGAUGAAGGAAUGGAAAUCUGUGUACCGCGUACAGGCCACUGGGAGGCCAAAUAAAAAGAGGGAGGAAACGUUUGGAGAGGGCCAGGGCAUGCAGCACGGAGAAGGAAACUGCAGUUAAGGUGGAAUGCAGGUUAACACACAUGAGGACAAACUACCGUGUGACAACCCGUCCCACACGAUGACCAGUCACAGAGCGGUGCAUGGUAAGGUUUAC
ensembl:lncRNA